CCUUUAACUAUUGAAUCCCAAAAGCCGAAAGGAAAAUUAUGUCCAAGCUUCGCACCCUUCUCGCUCUCCUCAAUUUUAUGCUAUGUUAUGCUGUUCGACCCGACCCUGCUUCUCCCUUGACCCAACAACACGGAGUUGCGGCCGAGAAAGUUGAUAUCAAUGAGAACUGAAGUCGGCAAAGAGGAUUGCUUGAUGAGAAGAACCCUUGCUGCUCAUGUGGAUUAUAUUUAUACUCAAAGUUAGAAGCCAUGAAGUUGAAUUAUUGUAGGAGAAAAUAAGGCAGACAAUGUUAGUUUAAUUGUAAACAACAUAAAUAAAUCAUAUAUAUGUUCAUGUAACAGCAAUGAAGGCAUAUAUAGAAGCAAUGCAAAA